CAGGGUUAUCUACAGGAUUACAGGUUUAACUGCAGACUGAGAGGAAAACGGAACUGUGGGAAGGGCUCUGUCCCCAGAUCCUGUUAGCCAUCCAGGCCGUUUCCAGACCAGCCUGCUGGACUCCUCCGAACCAAAUCCUUUCCCCAGUCUAGACGGAGUGCAGCUGAUGGGUGGGUCACACUGCACCUGCCUGUCCCCCUACCUGCAUCCCACCUGCCCGCAGCUCGGCAAGGUCGGCUCUUAGCUUCCUCUCAUCACUGAUCUGUGCUUUUAUUCACUGAUCCCUAGACUUUUACCUGGUUUAUUUUCCUCUGUAUUUUCCUAAUGUGUAAUUGCUUACUUUCAAACAUCUCACACACAGUCAUGUGCUGUGUACUGACUUUUCAACCAACAAUGGACUGCAUGCAUGAGGGCGGUCCCAGGAGACUAUAAAGGAACUGGAAAAUCCCGACUACCAGUGAUGGUGCAGCCAGAGGAAUGUUGUCGCACUGUGCGUUACUCACAUUCGCAGUGACACGGUGUGAACAAACUUACUCCACUGCCACUCGUAUAAAAAUACAGCACGUUGAAUCGUGUACAACAGA
rnacentral:lncRNA from 1 species